rnacentral:rRNA from 1 species
GAUGAACGCUGGCGGCGUGCCUAAUACAUGCAAGUCGAGCGAACAGAUGAGGAGCUUGCUCCUCUGACGUUAGCGGCGGACGGGUGAGUAACACGUGGAUAACCUACCUAUAAGACUGGGAUAACUUCGGGAAACCGGAGCUAAUACCGGAUAAUAUAUUGAACCGCAUGGUUCAAUAGUGAAAGACGGUUUUGCUGUCACUUAUAGAUGGAUCCGCGCCGCAUUAGCUAGUUGGUAAGGUAACGGCUUACCAAGGCAACGAUGCGUAGCCGACCUGAGAGGGUGAUCGGCCACACUGGAACUGAGACACGGUCCAGACUCCUACGGGAGGCAGCAGUAGGGAAUCUUCCGCAGUGGGCGAAAGCUUGACGGAGCAACGCCGCGUGAGUGAUGAAGGUCUGCGGAUCGUAAAACUCUGUUAUUAGGGAAGAACAAAUGUGUAAGUAACUAUGCACGUCUGGACGGUACCUAAUCAGAAAGCCACGGCGAACUACGU